CUUGGUCAUUUAGAGGAAGUAAAAGUCGUAACAAGGUUUCCGUAGGUGAACCUGCGGAAGGAUCAUUAACACGUGAUACUCACGUAUUAAAACUCACCGUGAAAUGUUAUUCUGUCCUAUUAUUGAGUAUGAGUAGAGUAUAUAAGGGAAUGCUAUUGACCGCCUUUUUCGCAAGAGAUUGUACGUCAUAACUUAUAUAGUCGUUUUUAAGAUUUAUCUUAAAAGCUUAUCUCAAUAAAUAGAUUGAUGAAUUACGACUGCUUAUUAAGCCUGUAGCAUAGCUUGCAGUUCGUAGUGAAACUUAUUAACCCCAUUUUUUAAUUAUUUACUGAUUUGUAUGUUUAUAUAAAUUCCUAUUUUUAUUAAUAGUCGAGUUUUUAUAAAUGUCGUAUAUUACUAAUACGAAACAACUCUUAGCAACGGAUAUCUUGGUUCUCGUAACGAUGAAGAGCGCAGCGAAAUGCGAUACGUAAUGCGAAUUGCAGAAUUCAGUGAAUCAUCAAAUUCUUGAACGCAACUGGCGCCUUCAGGUUUACCUGGAGGCACGUUUCUCUCAGUGUCGGUUAUACUCUCUCCUUCAACUAUUUUACUAUAGUUUUGUAAAGGGAAUAUGAGUGUUAUAAUAAUUAACUGUUAUAUCACUUGAAAUCGAAUGAGGUAGUUUCUCAUAGUUGGUAUUAUUUCGUAAGAAAUUAAUACCGCUAUUAAUAACUUAGUGAUGUGGGUAAAUCAUUCUUUGGAUGAUACUUUACAUCAAUACUAUAUUAUUAACUAGUUUACUAUGUUGAAAUUAGCGAAAAAUUUGUAAAAGUCAAAUUGUAAAAUUUAACUUUUCUCAUAUUUUGACCUGAGAUGAAGCGAGGCUACCCGCGGAAUUUAAGCAUAUUAUUACGCGGAGGAAAAGAAACUAACAAGGAUUCCCCUAGUAACGGCGAGUGAAGCGGGAAGAGCUCAAGUUUAAAAUCAGUAUGGUUUACUAUACUGAGUUGUAGUCUCGAGACAGGCUGUCUGUGGUGACGUUGAUACAAGUACCUUGGAAGAGGUUAUCAGAGAGGGUGACAAUCCCGUUGCUGAUCAACAGUUCGCCACUUUCGACGUUUGUUCACAGAGUCGGAUUGCUUGGGAGUGCAGUCCUAAUUGGGUGGUAAAUUUCAUCUAAAGCUAAAUAUUGACGAGAGACCGAUAGCGAACAAGUACCGUGAGGGAAAGAUGAAAAGAACUUUGAAAAGAGAGUCAAAAAGUACUUGAACUUGUUAAGAGGGAAGAGUUGAAAACUAGUGUUACUUGUAAUUACUUUCCCGUUCUGAUUGAAACUAAUGUGUAUUGAGAGUUUAAACCUCAAUAUAUACUCGAAUUAAUUGGAGCGGUCCCUGUAGUUAUAAGUGGUCAGCAUCAUUUCGAAGCGUGGGAGAAAAUUAUACGGAAGGUAGGGUCUUCGGACCUGUUAUAGACGUGUAAUUAUACCAUGCUUUGGAUUGAGGAUGUAUCGACGCUCCGUUUUACGGAGUGACCAUUUAUUACCUCAUAUAUUCUAAUUAUUGGAAAACAAUGUUUUGCUGUAGUUAGGGUGUGUGACUGUGGUAGAGAGUCACUGCGCCGACGCGAUGCUGACAAAAUGGUUUUCAUCUACCCGUCUUGAAACACGGACC
rnacentral:rRNA from 1 species